CCUACGGGAGGCUGCAGUGGGGAAUAUUGCGCAAUGGGCGAAAGCCUGACGCAGCGACGCCGCGUGAGGGAUGAAGGUCUUCGGAUCGUAAACCUCUGUCAGCAGGGAAGAACGGUCACUGUGCUAAUCAGCAGUGAAUUGACGGUACCUGCAAAGGAAGCACCGGCUAACUCCGUGCCAGCAGCCGCGGUAAUACGGAGGGUGCGAGCGUUAAUCGGAACUACUGGGCGUAAAGCGCUCGUAGGCGGUAUGUCAAGUCAAGGGGGAAAUCCCCGCGCUCAACGUGGGAACUGCCUUUGAAACUGGCAAACUGGAGUGUGUGAGAGGAUAGUGGAAUUCCAGGUGUAGGGGUGAAAUCCGUAGAUAUCUGGAGGAACAUCAGUGGCGAAGGCGACUAUCUGGCACAUAACUGACGCUGAGGAGCGAAAGCGUGGGUAGCAAACAGGAUUAGAUACCCCAGUAGUC
rnacentral:rRNA from 1 species